rnacentral:rRNA from 1 species
UACGGGGGGGGCAAGCGUUGUUCGGAAUUACUGGGCGUAAAGGGCUCGUAGGUGGCCAACUAAGUCAGACGUGAAAUCCCCGUCGGGCUUAACCGGGGGAACUGCGUCUGAUACUGGAUGGCUUGAGUUCGGCAGGGGGAGACUGGGAAUUCCUGGUGUAGCGGUGAAAUGCGCAGAUAUCAGGAGGAACACCGGUGGCGAAGGCGGGUCUCUGGGCCGAUACUGACGCUGAGGCGCGAAAGCCAGGGGAGCAAACGGG